rnacentral:lncRNA from 1 species
UGCAUCAUAUAUUUUCUUUCUAAAAGGGUUUUACCAAAUAACAAGGUACUUUUUUCAUAAGAUACAUGAGUAACUGGUUAAACCAAAUGUAUGCAAUGUCUUAGGUUCUGCAGAUUACAUCAUAAUGAUCUACUUUAGCAAGUAAACGUUGUAAAAAGAGUGGGCAUGCAUUGUAAGUUCCAUUGCGACUAAAGAUGACUUGACUUGCAUAAAGCGCAGACUAAAGUUCAAUAGUGGCAAUGUGGCUGGACCAGCCAAUUGACAACAUAUGCAUGCCAUUUUAAUAGAUGGAACAGCCAUUUCAUAUGCCUAUGCUUAACAAUUCAACUUUGUCGGUAGGAUUAGAAUUGCAGUAGGAGCACAACCAGGUAGAAAUGCAGGAAAGGAAACGGUAUUAUUUGUGAAGCAGAAAGAUCAGGAAUGGACAGAUUUGAGAAGAUUGCUUGGGGCUAGAUGUUCCCAUGGUAUUGACAUUACUUGUACGAUUUGCUGCUAGAAAAACUGCAACUAAUGUAACGUUUAUUUGUCCAUGUCAAGGGUACUGUCUCCAAAACUAUAAGCUACAAUGUGCUCCCAUGGUCAGUCAACCAUUACUCAAGCUAGAAACAGUACCAAAUAUGGUUCAAAAGUAAUUAGUUUCGGAAAAGAAGAUUACAAGACCCACUAAAGUAGAACACAAAGGGCCGGCGUGCAAAGAGCCUGUAGAAUAAUUAGCUUUCGGAUCUCUGCACUGUCCAUUGAGGAGGAUAGGCAUCUGUUAACUGGGUUAGCAAAUGACACCUAAGCAGGUUAACAGUUUGUUCCUAUAUAUUUGUUGAUAGGAUCACGUACAGACCGACAAUGCUCAUGGAUCUUGAUAUUGAAUGAUUUAUGUAGGGGCCAUCACUAGGCAGGUGCCCACAUGAACUGUAGAAGGAAUGGCUACAGAGCUGAUUAUGACUGAAGCAACAGGCAAAUCAUAAGCAUGAAGCAUCGGUCCCCCUAGGCAGGCAGCAAAUAAUAGUUCAGUCCAGCAGGGUGGGCUCCGCACUAAUCAUAAAUGGUUAACUGCUAGCACCACCCAUCAGCCACUGAAAGCCAUCAUUCCC